GCGGUGCAGGCGCGCGCCCAACGGCUUUGCGAGGCUCACUCGGUCUGAGAGGUCGGAGGCUGCGAGUGUCGCUGCUGAAGGCUGUGGUGGACUGGGCUGGAUCGCGGAUUUUGGAUUAGAUAAUAGAUUUGGGAUCGCGGAUUGGGGGUUGGAUCGCGGAUUUGGGGUUGGAUCGGGGAUUUGGGGUUGGAUAGGGGAUUUGGGGCUGGGUCGGCGGGGGCGUGGGGGGAGGUGAAAAGGUAACAGGGAGCUGCCCCCUCUCAAGAGCCGGUAGUUGGGAGUCUGAGAAGUCACCACCAUGAAGUUGUUCGGCUUCAGGAGCCGCAGGGGCCAGACGGUCCUGGGCUCCAUAGACCACCUCUACACGGGUUCCGGGUACCGAAUCCGGUACUCGGAACUGCAGAAGAUCCACAAGGCAGCUGUCAAGGGCGACGCUGCGGAGAUGGAGCGCUGUCUGGCGCGCAGGAGCGGAGACCUUGACGCCCUGGACAAGCAGCACAGGCUGUCCAUUGCCAGGAAGAGGCUUGUGCCGUUAUUCUGCUGGAACAUGGUGCCAAUCCAAACCUUAAGGAUAUCUACGGCAACACUGCUCUCCAUUAUGCUGUGUAUAGUGAGAGCACCUCACUGGCAGAAAAACUGCUUUUCCAUGGUGAAAAUAUUGAAGCACUGGACAAGGUAUAGAUCAAUCAACUUUCUUUCCAAAAUAUUUGUUUUAACAUUGACAUAGGUAAGGGUCAAUUUUUUAUAUUUGGAAGCUCAACCAUUCCCUGAAUGCAAAUGCAAAUAAUUUUGAAAUAAUUGUCUAAGAUUUUAUUUUAAAUAUUGAUACUUUUAAAGGAGCAUUAAAGGGUACAGCUUUAUAAAACGCACUUUGGAAAAUAUUUGUGAAUUUGUUAAAGGUAAAACCUUUUCAACUUUUUUUCUAUGCAGGGUUAUCUUUCCUUUUUUUCCCCGUAAUUAGCGUAAAACAACACAGGAAAGAAAAUAUGCCCUGGAAAUAGGCUUUAUCUUAAAACUCAAACAAAACUAAAGCAACUUACAAUAAGUGGACAUGUUGCUGCUGCUGAUAAUUUUCUGAAAAACUGAUGUAUCAUCUCUCAGUGGCACAAGGCUUAAGAGGGAAAAAUGGGAAGGGAAAAGGAGAGCAAUCAGAAAUAUGCAGGUCACUUGGAAAUUAGGUAAUGAGGGAAAAUGCUAUGAAGAGUUUUUUUUUUCUCUUAGUUUGUUGUUGUUCCAGUUUAUGUGUUGAGACAAGGCACUCCUUAGCUUUGGGUCUAAUAAUUUUUUGUUUGAAAAUGAGAGUGAGUUGAAACUCGCCUAGAGAUGAAUUUUAGGAAGACUUUGAGGAAACCAGAUUGGCAGUGAAUAUGUGGUGGUGAAGUGAGAAACACUUCAGCAGAAGGUGGAACAAAUUAUUAACUGACUUAUUGCCCAUCCUGGCAGAAACAGCCACUUAGAUAAGAGUCUAAAGACUCCUCUCAAACCUAGAAUGUCUUGGUGGGAAGGUGGGAGAUAAGGAGCUUGUAAAUAGCAAAAUCAAGUGGGAUUUUGAGUUUACUUGUUUGUGUUCUACCCAUACCCAGGAAACUUAACUGGAGCUUUAAUAAAUGACACUAUCUCUUACUCUUUUCUCUUUUUGGCCACAUGUCCAACUGAUAAAGGGAACUAGCCAUGCGGGUGAGAGAUGAGACUGAAGUGAUUGCUGCACUAAUUCUCAGAAUUGUGCAUUACAGUGACCUGAGGACAUUUUGUUAAAAAUCUACAAAUGUAGGCUUUCCCCUGAGGAUUUUGAUGUAAUAGACCUUAUAAGGCCUGAACAUUUUUAAAAACAUUUUCUUGAAGCUGGGCACAGUGACAUGUUCCUGUAGUCCCAGGUUGAGCCUGAGUUUAAGUUCAGCUUGAGCAACAUAGUGAGACUCUUGCCUCUAACAACAAUAACACC
rnacentral:lncRNA from 1 species